AACGCACCUUGCACUCUUUGGUAUUCCGAAGAGUAUGUCUGUUUGAGUGUCAUGAAACUCUCAACCCCACUAUUUUGUAAUGAAAUAGGUCGUGGGCUUGGUUUAUGGUUGUUGCUGGCUUUAUCGUCAGCUCGACUGAAAUAUACGAGCUACCCAAUUCAACUUUGAAUUAGACGGUUUGACUCGGCGUAAUAAUCUAUUUCGCUGAGGACGUCUUCAUCAAAUUUAAUGAUAGUGGUGCUUCUAACGCAUUAGCAAUUUAAGCUUUAGACCUCAAAUCAGUCAGGACUACCCGCUGAACUUAA
rnacentral:misc_RNA from 2 species